rnacentral:rRNA from 1 species
GUGAGGAAUAUUGGUCAAUGGGCGAGAGCCUGAACCAGCCAAGUCGCGUGAAGGAAGAAGGAUCUAUGGUUCGUAAACUUCUUUUGCAGGGGAAUAAAGUGCGGGACGUGUCCUGUUUUGUAUGUACCCUGAGAAUAAGGAUCGGCUAACUCCGUGCCAGCAGCCGCGGUAAUACGGAGGAUCCGAGCGUUAUCCGGAUUUAUUGGGUUUAAAGGGUGCGUAGGUGGUUUGAUAAGUCAGCGGUGAAAGUUUGCAGCUUAACUGUAAAAUUGCCGUUGAAACUGUCGAUCUUGAGUGCAAAUGAGGUAAGCGGAAUGUGUUGUGUAGCGGUGAAAUGCUUAGAUAUAACACAGAACACCGAUUGCGAAGGCAGCUUACUGGGAUGCAACUGACGCUCAUGUACGAAAGCGUGGGGAUCAAACAGGAUUAGAAACCCGUGUAGUCC